GACGAACGCUGGCGGCGUGGAUUAGGCAUGCAAGUCGAACGGUAUCAUCCUUUCGGGGGUGAGAGAGUGGCGAACUGGUGAGUAACACGUAGGUUAUCUACCCUCAAGACGGGGACAACCCAGGGAAACUUGGGCUAAUACCGGAUGUGAGCAAUUUUUAGUUGUUUGAAAGGUGGCGUAAGCUGUCGCUUGGGGAUGAGCCUGCGUCCUAUUAGUUAGUUGGUGAGGUAACGGCUCACCUAGGCAAUGAUAGGUAGGCGGCCUUAACGGGUGGUCGCCCACACUGGGAUUGAGAUACGGCCCAGACUCCUACGGGAGGCAGCAGUCGAGAAUAGUCUACAAUGGUCGGAAGACUGAUAGUGCGACGCCGCGUGAACGAUGAAUCCCUUCGGGGUGUAAAGUUCUUUUAUAUGUGAGCAGUGCUUCUUAUAUUAACAGUAUGGGGAGAGAGAUAUUAGCAUAUGAAUAAGCAACGGCUAACUCCGUGCCAGCAGCCGCGGUAAU
rnacentral:rRNA from 1 species